rnacentral:rRNA from 1 species
UACAGAGGUCCCAAGCGUUGUUCGGAUUCACUGGGCGUAAAGGGUGCGUAGGCGGUCGGGUAAGUCUGGCGUGAAAUCUCCAAGCCUAACUUGGAAACUGCGUUGGAUACUAUCCGGCUCGAGGAAUGGAGGGGUGACUGGAAUACUUGGUGUAGCAGUGAAAUGCGUAGAUAUCAAGUGGAACACCAGUGGCGAAGGCGAGUCUCUGGACAUUUCCUGACGCUGAGGCACGAAAGCCAGGGGAGCAAACGGG